AAUAAAACGUUAAGAAAGAGGAGUAGCAUAAAAACAUUGCACUACAGAGAGCCGGAGUGGGUGAGAACCGGUAUGCAGGCUUUAUGUGAAUGGGCUUUCGAGUGAUUCCCUGAAAGAUUAGUAGGGGAAUACGGGAUUCCGCCGUUAAAAGGAUAGGAUAUUAAAUGAUGGAUUCCUUCCUCAUCGUAUCUGAAAGAGAUCCAACGGGGGUGGCACCACGAUUAUACGUCCUCCAU
rnacentral:ncRNA from 1 species